rfam:Brassica oleracea var. oleracea cultivar TO1000 chromosome C3, whole genome shotgun sequence
UAGCUGAUGAGGAUAAAACAAUUAUCUUAGCGGAUUUCAGUGAGGUUUUAUAAUCAAUGAUCUGAAUUGUUACACACACUGAGGCUU